rnacentral:tRNA from 1 species
GUACAUAUAAUUCAAAAGCGCUCGCCUGGUAGAAUGUGGGUCUUUAAAACCCAAUUCCGUAGGUUCAAAUCCUACAGAGUGCG